GAUGAAGAACGCAGCGAAAUGCGAUAAGUAAUGUGAAUUGCAGAAUUCAGUGAAUCAUCGAAUCUUUGAACGCACAUUGCGCCCGUCAGUAUUCUGGCGGGCAUGCCUGUUCGAGCGUCAUUACGCCCCUCAAGUCCCCUGUGGACUUGGUGUUGGGGAUCGGCGAGGCUGGUUUUCCAGCACAGCCGUCCUUUAAAUUAAUUGGCGGUCUCGCCGUGGCCCUCCUCUGCGCAGUAGUAAAACACUCGCAACAGGAGCCCGGCGCGGUCCACUGCCGUAAAACCCCCCAACUUUUUAUAGUUGACCUCGAAUCAGGUAGGACUACCCGCUGAACUUAAGCAUAUCAAUAAGCGGAGGA
rnacentral:misc_RNA from 1 species